rnacentral:rRNA from 1 species
GACGAACGCUGGCGGCGUGCUUAACACAUGCAAGUCGAACGGAAAGGCCCUGCUUUUGUGGGGUGCUCGAGUGGCGAACGGGUGAGUAACACGUGAGUAACCUGCCCUUGACUUUGGGAUAACUUCAGGAAACUGGGGCUAAUACCGGAUAGGAGCUCCUGCUGCAUGGUGGGGGUUGGAAAGUUUCGGCGGUUGGGGAUGGACUCGCGGCUUAUCAGCUUGUUGGUGGGGUAGUGGCUUACCAAGGCUUUGACGGGUAGCCGGCCUGAGAGGGUGACCGGCGACAUUGCGACUGAGAGAGGGCGCAGACUGCUACGGGAGGCAGUAGUGGGGAAUAUUGCACAAUGGGCGGAAGCCUGAGGCAGCAACGCUGGGGGUGGGAUGACGGCCUGCGCGGUGUAAACCGCUUUCGCCUGUGACGAAGCGUGAGUGACGGUAAUGGGUAAAGAAGCACCGGCUAACUACGUG